rnacentral:rRNA from 1 species
GAUGAACGCUGGCGGCGUGCCUAAUACAUGCAAGUCGAGCGAACAGACGAGGAGCUUGCUCCUCUGACGUUAGCGGCGGACGGGUGAGUAACACGUGGAUAACCUACCUAUAAGACUGGGAUAACUUCGGGAAACCGGAGCUAAUACCGGAUAAUAUAUUGAACCGCAUGGUUCAAUAGUGAAAGACGGUUUUGCUGUCACUUAUAGAUGGAUCCGCGCGGCAUUAGCUAGUUGGUAAGGUAACGGCUUACCAAGGCGACGAUGCGUAGCCGACGUGAGGGGGGGUAGGCCCACAGAGAGGCUGAGAGGCGACCCAGCCACUGACGGAAGGCACAGGGGGGGAAGCGCGGGAGAAGGGCGGAAGACUGACGAAGCAGGGGCGGGUGGAUGAAGAAGGGCUUCGGGUGGGAUAACUGUUUUAUGGGGGAAAAAAAAGUUUGAAAAUAACGAAGCCUUGUGUGACGGUACUGAGUAAAGAAGCAACGGCUAACUACGUG